CCAUGAGUUCGCUCACAGGGAGUAGAGUGUGUAGGGGAUGUGUUAUGUGUUACUGUAGAGGAUCUAAUGUGUGUGCUUACGGAAUGUAGUGUAUAGGGAUACCAGUUUGUGUAGGUGAUGCAGUGUGUUUGUGUGUAGUGGAAGCAGUGUGUGUGUGUGUGUGUGUGUGUGUGUAUAAGGGAUGUAUUGUGUGUUUCUUGUUGUGUGUAAG